rnacentral:rRNA from 1 species
GUCCUAGCCGUAAACGAUGCAUACUAGAAGUAGGAGGGCUCAACCCUUUCUGUUUCGGAGCUAACGCGUUAAGUAUGCCACCUGGGGAGUACGCUCGCAAGGGUGAAACUCAAAAGAAUUGACGGGGGCCCGCACAAGCAGUGGAGCAUGUGGUUUAAUUCGAUGCAACGCGAAGAACCUUACCUGGGCUCGAAAUGUAGAGGACUAUGCAAGAGAUUGCAUAUCCCGAAAGGGUCUCUAUAUAGGUGCUGCAUGGCUGUCGU